UGUCACAACCUGCAGUCCUCGUCUUCUCCGGUCGACCCUCCGCCGCUCAGACACAGACGCAUGGACGCCGAAGAUCCCCUGCACCGCGCUACUCCCCUGCUCUCCCGCGCGUCCUCCGCCGCCGCCGCAGCUGCCUCCUCCGCCGCUCCCUUCUGCCUCGCGCAGCUCCCCUGACUCCCUUGCCUGCCUCGCGAAUCUUCCCUCUUUCACCCAAAAAAUUGUUUCUUCUUCCUCCCGCCGCGUCUCCUGCUCGCGGCCACCCCCUCCCUCCUAGCGUUGAUGGAAGAAGCAUGGCUGGCCCUCGGCCCGACGGCCGGCGACGCGACCUUCCCACCCCCGCCCCGGCCCCCAUGGCGUGGGGCGCGGCCGCGACGACGCAGCGGGAGACGGUGGCCAACAAAUCGUCUGCGCAGGCGGUGAGACGAAUCGUGUCCAGCUGCGCCAACUCGAGCGGCCUGGCCGUGGCCGUCGUCGACGCCAACGCUGUCAUCUCGGGCGGCGCCACGCUCUCCUCAACUGCGGGCCGGCUGGUCACGGUGCUCGAGGAGGUGUGCGACGCCGCGCGCCGGAGGCUCGCGCUCCUGCCCACCCCCGUCGAGACCGUCGAGCCAGCCCCUGAGUUCGUCAAGAGAGUAGGGCCAGCUUGAACCGUUUGCACCAGGAAGAAGACCGGCCCAAUGUUGAUGAAGGGAGGCAGCCUACAGGAUGCCCUGCAAAUCAAUUUUGAGCAAGGCAAAGCUGUUUGGAUCCUCAAAUACAUGAGUAAUUAAAAGAGCAUGUACCAUCUGCAGCAUCUCAAGAAAUUCAAAGAAAUUCAGAAUACGGUACAGCAUCUCAAGACAUCUGGCCACCUUUUGUUUUGGUCAGAUGACCAGAUUGUGCGAAAUUGUGCCCAACCACAAAGACAAAUGCACUAGCACCACAUAGUUGCAUUGACCAAAUAGACUUGUUCCAUGAGUGCUUAAUUUGCAUUGAUCAGAUAUAUUGUAAUUGCAGAAAUCUUAGGAAUAUUGUUUGUCCAAUCUUUGUGUAGAAAUUUUAUGACUAUGUGAAUUAAAGGCUUUCAACUAAGAAGAUGAUUAUUUCGACUACAUACUUCUAUCAUAUGGAGCUACAUACUCCUAUCAUAUGGAGCCAAAGUGCUCUUUUAUUUAAAUUUUAUAUGGAACCAAAUUUUAUUUAAGUUGGGUGACAAAAUAAUUCUGCAGUUCUUACUUGAGGCCUGCCAAAUCAUGUAUUAUAGUGUUGCCUAGAGCUACUGCCUGAGCUUAAAAGUCUAUUCAAGAAAACCUUUUAUAUGAAACCAAUCUUCUUCCCUUCAAAAAGUCUGUUCCUUACAGAUUAUUAAAAGAUGCUUCAGUGACUUCUGAGAGAUUAAAAGUCUCCUUGUUCAUUUUGUUAACUAGAGGAACAUGAUGGCCAUUCCUUAUAGAAACAUGGUAACUUCAACAAAAGAAACAUCAAUCAACUCUUGUACUCCUCUGCUCCCUGCUUGCUUUUUAGGCUUUCCAGUGACAUUAUAUUUUCUUUCAGAGGAGGUUGCAGUGCUCUGCUCUCUGCUUGCUUUUUAGGCUUUCAAAUAAUUCCCAAUACAUUCAGAUAAAUCUAGCUGAUUCAAAUAAUCCCAAAAUAAUUCAAAUAAAUCUAGCGAAUUCAAAUAAUUAUAGCUAAUUCCAAUAAUUCCUAAUUAAUUCAAAUAAGUCUUUUGCCUCGUUAAAAAAACUAUUUUAGCUUUGCCUCUCUAUACACGAUCGCAGAUUCCGAGUGCUGGUAAUUAGUAACAGGACAUUUUCAUCUCUUUUACUCCCUCCGUUCCAUAAGAGUAUUUCUUACACUAUAUUAUGGAACGGAGCAAGUAAGUCAGUAGUGUCGUCAGCUGCGACAAGCCAGCGACAUAGUGCUAGGAUAUGUUCAACACUGCCAUGUUUCAGUCUUGUUUUUUGCAGAACUGAAUUUACUAGCACCAUUUUGCAUCUUGCCAUUACUGUGCAAAUACCAACCUGCUCCCUGAUACUGGAGUACACCUAACAAAAUCACUGCUAUCAAGAGUGCAAAAUGGAUAUGAAUUCUCAGACUACACCAUGUUCCUGUUAAUCAUAAGAAUAAGAAUAAGGAAGAGAAGGAGAAGGAGAAGAAGGAGAAGGAGAAGGAGAAGAAUAAGAAGAGCUCCUAGCAUAGAAGAAGGAUCUCUUCUUCUUCUUACAAAUAAAUCCAAAUAAUUCAAAUAAAUUGAAUUAAAUCAAGUAAAUUCAAAGAAAAUCAAAUAAUUCACAUGACACACUCCAAUCUUUUCUCGUUGAACACCUGACACAAAGACAUACACAUGACACAACACAUGACACAUGACAUACACAAGACAUACACAUGACACAUGACAUACUCCUAUCAUUUCUUUUCAUUUCCCUUUCCUUUUCCUGAGCUCUAUUCCCCUUGUUCU